rnacentral:rRNA from 1 species
GCAGUCGAGCGGACGGAUGGGAGCUUGCUCCCUGAAGUCAGCGGCGGACGGGUGAGUAACACGUGGGCAACCUGCCUGUAAGACUGGGAUAACUUCGGGAAACCGGAGCUAAUACCGGAUAACACCGAGGACCACAUGGUCCUUGGUUGAAAGAUGGCUUCGGCUAUCACUUACAGAUGGGCCCGCGGCGCAUUAGCUAGUUGGUGAGGUAACGGCUCACCAAGGCGACGAUGCGUAGCCGACCUGAGAGGGUGAUCGGCCACACUGGGACUGAGACACGGCCCAGACUCCUACGGGAGGCAGCAGUACGGAAUCUUCCGCAAUGGACGAAAGUCUGACGGAACAACGCCGCGUGAGCGAUGAUGGCCUUCGGGUCGCAAAGCUCUGUUGUUAGGGA